rnacentral:tRNA from 1 species
GCGGCCGUGCCCGAGCUGGCCAAAGGGGUCGGGCUUAAGACCCGAUGGGGUAGUCCCUGCCGGGGUUCGAAUCCCCGCGGCCGCA